GGUCCUAUGGUGUAAUUGGCAGCACUUCGGACUCUGAAUCCGGCGACCUGAGUUCGAGUCUCAGUAGGACCA